CCUCUAAGAACGGUUGGUUUCAAAAUCGUCCAAUGAAGGACGUUCGUUGGACCAAUUUGGACAACGUCCAAAUAACCGUUCAACAAACGUCCAUCGUUGGACCCGUGUUGAACGAUUUUGAAACAAUUUUUUGGACGUCUCAGUGGCUUCCACGAAUGACAACGAAGAAAAGUGUCGAAUCACUUCCUAAAAUAGUUCAAAAAGCUAUUAAUCUGCAAUGAACCAGUCCGAGGCGAAAACAAAAUAAGUCAGAUGAAAAACCAACAGAUAGCAGAACCACUGCAAGCUCCCCAUCGUUCUGAUUUCGGUCAAGUGAUAUUGGUAUGUUUUACAUGUUGAAACCUUCCGGAUGAAACUAAAUUAGAAUCGUAUCGGAAAAAAUACGAAUGCACCACGUUAUCGAUCGGAUUUUGCUAACAUUAGCAUACGAGAAAUGUUUCGUUCAUUCCAGUACCAGCUAACCAGUCUGCAUUUUUCUGAUGGUCAGUUGAUCACAUUGUUUGAGAGUGAGAAACGCACGUGCCUUUCGGUCUUCUAUCUAUUGCAAUUUAGAAUGAAAGAUGUACUGUAUUAACAUACCUAUGACGAAAACAAUUUAUUGCUUUUUGGUUGAAUUCGAAGGCAUGCUAUACGAUUGUUUUCGAUGUGAGGACUGAAUUUCCAGCAGGAGAAUAACCUUUUGUUGCGAUUAUUGAAAACGCCGCCAAGCUGGUUUUCCAGGAACUAUGAGAAAAUCGAAAUUGUUUUAAAAAAAGAGUUCAACUGAUGCAGCAAAGAUGUUAUCAGGAAUUCCAAACAACUACAUGGCCUUCUCUGCUUGUAC